rnacentral:rRNA from 1 species
AUUGAACGCUGGCGGCAUGCCUUACACAUGCAAGUCGAACGGCAGCGCGGACUUCGGUCUGGCGGCGAGUGGCGAACGGGUGAGUAAUACAUCGGAACGUACCCUGUUGUGGGGGAUAACUAGUCGAAAGAUUAGCUAAUACCGCAUACGACCUGAGGGUGAAAGUGGGGGACCGCAAGGCCUCACGCAGCAGGAGCGGCCGAUGUCUGAUUAGCUAGUUGGUGGGGUAAAGGCCCACCAAGGCGACGAUCAGUAGCUGGUCUGAGAGGACGAUCAGCCACACUGGGACUGAGACACGGCCCAGACUCCUACGGGAGGCAGCAGUGGGGAAUUUUGGACAAUGGGGCAACCCUGAUCCAGCAAUGCCGCGUGUGUGAAGAAGGCCUUCGGGUUGUAAAGCACUUUUGUCCGGAAAGAAAUCGCGCUGGUUAAUACCUGGCGUGGAUGACGGUACCGGAAGAAUAAGCGCCGGCUAACUACGUGCCAGCCGCCGCCGUAA